GCCAGGCAUGGUAGCGCAUGCCUGUAAUCCCCAAGACUUGGGAGGCUGGGGCAGGAGGAUCACAAGUUCAAGGCCAGCUUCAGCAACUUUCUGAUGCCCUAAGCCAUUUAUUGAAACCUUGUCUCAA
rnacentral:sRNA from 1 species